AUCCGGUGCUUGCACCGGGGAUUAGUGGCGAACGGGUGAGUAACACGUGAGUAACCUGCCCUUGACUCUGGGAUAAGCCUGGGAAACCGGGUCUAAUACCGGAUAUGACUUCCUGCCGCAUGGCGGGGGGUGGAAAGAUUUUUUGGUUUUGGAUGGACUCGCGGCCUAUCAGCUUGUUGGUGGGGUAAUGGCCUACCAAGGCGACGACGGGUAGCCGGCCUGAGAGGGUGACCGGCCACACUGGGACUGAGACACGGCCCAGACUCCUACGGGAGGCAGCAGUGGGGAAUAUUGCACAAUGGGCGCAAGCCUGAUGCAGCGACGCCGCGUGAGGGAUGACGGCCUUCGGGUUGUAAACCUCUUUCAGCAGGGAAGAAGCGGAAGUGACGGUACCUGCAGAAGAAGCGCCGGCUAACUACGUGCCAGCAGCCGCGGUAAUACGUAGGGCGCAAGCGUUGUCCGGAAUUAUUGGGCGUAAAGAGCUCGUAGGCGGUUUGUCGCGUCUGCUGUGAAAGCCCGGGGCUCAACCCCGGGUCUGCAGUGGGUACGGGCAGACUGGAGUGCAGUAGGGGAGACUGGAAUUCCUGGUGUAGCGGUGAAAUGCGCAGAUAUCAGGAGGAACACCGAUGGCGAAGGCAGGUCUCUGGGCUGUAACUGACGCUGAGGAGCGAAAGCAUGGGGAGCGAACAGGAUUAGAUACCCUGGUAGUCCAUGCCGUAAACGUUGGGCAC
rnacentral:rRNA from 1 species